UCCGCACUGGAUAGCGGACAGCGACACGCCAAGAUCAGUAUCGAUAUUUCGUUGUGGAUUGUAAUACAGAGCUUGGAUCUUUUCCCUUCUUCCGCGAGGAUAUCAAUUUUUGUUGGAAUUAUCCUGGAUUUUUGGUGGACGGACGAAGAUUUAGCCGUAUUUUGCGUUGUGUGUAGUCUACUCUAACAGAAGAGCGGUAAUAGCACACACACACUCCAGAAACGCCCUCAUCUCUGGUGAGAUGACUGAACUGCCACAACCAUAGAACGUCAGCAUGAACCGAAUCAAAAACUAGCGUGGACAGAGUGGAUGCAAUGAGGCACGCACACUACAGCUUCUCAAACAUGGGAUGGUAAGACGGGCUUCAGGUGUCUGAGCUGACCUACGGAGCAGCAGCAGCAGCAGCCUUAGUUAUUACAGUAAAAAAACUAAGCAUGACAAGCUACAGAUGGUACAGAUAUGCAUACGUGGGGCAGUGAGGAGCUUCAUGUGUACUUGGACUGCUCUGGCAUCAGGACCCACCAUCACUCCUUAAUACAAGCUGCAACCCAAAUUGUGGAAACUGUUGAACUUCUCUAAGUUCUUCAAAAACAUUGGUAGAUUUGAGUAUGACAUAAUGGGUUUGCAAAAACUCAUUAAUCUACGAACACACAGCUCACAGAUGUGAAACAAUUCAAUACAAUACAAUACAUUUUCAGUAGAAAUUAUAAGGUAAACCUACAAAUAGGUCUUUUGAUUACCUCUUUUCCAAAUACCUACUGUCUUGUAUGACUCAGGUCAAAAUUAUUGCCCCUUCAGAUACAAACAACAAGCUCUCCUUAAUGAUCUCUGAUGCACAAAUCCUGACAAACAAGUGUCACAGUUUUGUUUAGUGAAGAGCUGUCAUUGCCAUCACACCUGGAUUAUUUAUGCUCUUCUCUGUAACCUCUGCCAACAAGUGUCACACCAUUUUCAAGUAUUUAGCCUAGAAUCACAUCUAAAAGCAGUCAGUAAAGGACAACCCAGGCCUGUCCUGUAAU
rnacentral:lncRNA from 1 species